GGUUAAGCGACUAAGCGUACACGGUGGAUGCCCUGGCAGUCAGAGGCGAUGAAGGACGUGCUAAUCUGCGAUAAGCGUCGGUAAGGUGAUAUGAACCGUUAUAACCGGCGAUUUCCGAAUGGGGAAACCCAGUGUGUUUCGACACACUAUCAUUAACUGAAUCCAUAGGUUAAUGAGGCGAACCGGGGGAACUGAAACAUCUAAGUACCCCGAGGAAAAGAAAUCAACCGAGAUUCCCCCAGUAGCGGCGAGCGAACGGGGAGGAGCCCAGAGCCUGAAUCAGUGUGUGUGUUAGUGGAAGCGUCUGGAAAGGCGCGCGAUACAGGGUGACAGCCCCGUACACAAAAAUGCACAUACUGUGAGCUCGAUGAGUAGGGCGGGACACGUGGUAUCCUGUCUGAAUAUGGGGGGACCAUCCUCCAAGGCUAAAUACUCCUGACUGACCGAUAGUGAACCAGUACCGUGAGGGAAAGGCGAAAAGAACCCCGGCGAGGGGAGUGAAAAAGAACCUGAAACCGUGUACGUACAAGCAGUGGGAGCACGCUUAGGCGUGUGACUGCGUACCUUUUGUAUAAUGGGUCAGCGACUUAUAUUCUGUAGCAAGGUUAACCGAAUAGGGGAGCCGAAGGGAAACCGAGUCUUAACUGGGCGUUAAGUUGCAGGGUAUAGACCCGAAACCCGGUGAUCUAGCCAUGGGCAGGUUGAAGGUUGGGUAACACUAACUGGAGGACCGAACCGACUAAUGUUGAAAAAUUAGCGGAUGACUUGUGGCUGGGGGUGAAAGGCCAAUCAAACCGGGAGAUAGCUGGUUCUCCCCGAAAGCUAUUUAGGUAGCGCCUCGUGAAUUCAUCUCCGGGGGUAGAGCACUGUUUCGGCAAGGGGGUCAUCCCGACUUACCAACCCGAUGCAAACUGCGAAUACCGGAGAAUGUUAUCACGGGAGACACACGGCGGGUGCUAACGUCCGUCGUGAAGAGGGAAACAACCCAGACCGCCAGCUAAGGUCCCAAAGUCAUGGUUAAGUGGGAAACGAUGUGGGAAGGCCCAGACAGCCAGGAUGUUGGCUUAGAAGCAGCCAUCAUUUAAAGAAAGCGUAAUAGCUCACUGGUCGAGUCGGCCUGCGCGGAAGAUGUAACGGGGCUAAACCAUGCACCGAAGCUGCGGCAGCGACGCUUAUGCGUUGUUGGGUAGGGGAGCGUUCUGUAAGCCUGCGAAGGUGUGCUGUGAGGCAUGCUGGAGGUAUCAGAAGUGCGAAUGCUGACAUAAGUAACGAUAAAGCGGGUGAAAAGCCCGCUCGCCGGAAGACCAAGGGUUCCUGUCCAACGUUAAUCGGGGCAGGGUGAGUCGACCCCUAAGGCGAGGCCGAAAGGCGUAGUCGAUGGGAAACAGGUUAAUAUUCCUGUACUUGGUGUUACUGCGAAGGGGGGACGGAGAAGGCUAUGUUGGCCGGGCGACGGUUGUCCCGGUUUAAGCGUGUAGGCUGGUUUUCCAGGCAAAUCCGGAAAACUAAGGCUGAGGCGUGAUGACGAGGCACUACGGUGCUGAAGCAACAAAUGCCCUGCUUCCAGGAAAAGCCUCUAAGCAUCAGGUAACAUCAAAUCGUACCCCAAACCGACACAGGUGGUCAGGUAGAGAAUACCAAGGCGCUUGAGAGAACUCGGGUGAAGGAACUAGGCAAAAUGGUGCCGUAACUUCGGGAGAAGGCACGCUGAUAUGUAGGUGAAGUCCCUCGCGGAUGGAGCUGAAAUCAGUCGAAGAUACCAGCUGGCUGCAACUGUUUAUUAAAAACACAGCACUGUGCAAACACGAAAGUGGACGUAUACGGUGUGACGCCUGCCCGGUGCCGGAAGGUUAAUUGAUGGGGUUAGCGCAAGCGAAGCUCUUGAUCGAAGCCCCGGUAAACGGCGGCCGUAACUAUAACGGUCCUAAGGUAGCGAAAUUCCUUGUCGGGUAAGUUCCGACCUGCACGAAUGGCGUAAUGAUGGCCAGGCUGUCUCCACCCGAGACUCAGUGAAAUUGAACUCGCUGUGAAGAUGCAGUGUACCCGCGGCAAGACGGAAAGACCCCGUGAACCUUUACUAUAGCUUGACACUGAACAUUGAGCCUUGAUGUGUAGGAUAGGUGGGAGGCUUUGAAGUGUGGACGCCAGUCUGCAUGGAGCCGACCUUGAAAUACCACCCUUUAAUGUUUGAUGUUCUAACGUUGACCCGUAAUCCGGGUUGCGGACAGUGUCUGGUGGGUAGUUUGACUGGGGCGGUCUCCUCCUAAAGAGUAACGGAGGAGCACGAAGGUUGGCUAAUCCUGGUCGGACAUCAGGAGGUUAGUGCAAUGGCAUAAGCCAGCUUGACUGCGAGCGUGACGGCGCGAGCAGGUGCGAAAGCAGGUCAUAGUGAUCCGGUGGUUCUGAAUGGAAGGGCCAUCGCUCAACGGAUAAAAGGUACUCCGGGGAUAACAGGCUGAUACCGCCCAAGAGUUCAUAUCGACGGCGGUGUUUGGCACCUCGAUGUCGGCUCAUCACAUCCUGGGGCUGAAGUAGGUCCCAAGGGUAUGGCUGUUCGCCAUUUAAAGUGGUACGCGAGCUGGGUUUAGAACGUCGUGAGACAGUUCGGUCCCUAUCUGCCGUGGGCGCUGGAGAACUGAGGGGGGCUGCUCCUAGUACGAGAGGACCGGAGUGGACGCAUCACUGGUGUUCGGGUUGUCAUGCCAAUGGCACUGCCCGGUAGCUAAAUGCGGAAGAGAUAAGUGCUGAAAGCAUCUAAGCACGAAACUUGCCCCGAGAUGAGUUCUCCCUGACUCCUUGAGAGUCCUGAAGGAACGUUGAAGACGACGACGUUGAUAGGCCGGGUGUGUAAGCGCAGCGAUGCGUUGAGCUAACCGGUACUAAUGAACCGUGAGGCUUAACCUU
rnacentral:rRNA from 1 species